rnacentral:rRNA from 1 species
AAUAGAUACCCGGGUAGUCCACGCCGUAAACGAUGAGUGCUAGGUGUUGGGGGGACCCCCCUCAGUGCCGCAGGUAACCCAAUAAGCACUCCGCCUGGGGAGUACGGUCGCAAGACUGAAACUCAAAGGAAUUGACGGGGGCCCGCACAAGCGGUGGAGCAUGUGGUUUAAUUCGAAGCAACGCGAAGAACCUUACCAGGGCUUGACAUCCUGCUGACCGGUGUAGAGAUAUGCCUUUCCCCUUCGGGGGACAGCGGUGACAGGUGGUGCAUGGUUGUCGUCAGCUCGUGUCGUGAGAUGUUGGGUUCAGUCCCGCAACGAGCGCAACCCUUGUUUCUAGUUGCCAGCACUUCGGGUGGGCACUCUAGAGAGACAGCCGGUGAAAGCCGGAGGAAGGUGGGGAUGACGUCAAAUCAUCAUGCCCCUUAUGUCCUGGGCUACACACGUGCUACAAUGGCUGGUACAAAGGGCAGCGAACCCGGCGAGGGGGGAGCCAAUCCCAAAAAACCAGUCUCAGUUCGGAUUGCAGGCUGCAACUCG